AGGUAUGGGAAUAACAGGCAUUAAAACACAACACCUGAAAGACCCAUUAUGAGCUAACCCUAAUUUAAUCAUAUGGAUGAAUAAAAAACUGAAAAUGGAUUAUUCUGGUAAAGGGGUACCGCCCCAUGUUGGUGGAUCUUGGAUAUUGGUUUUUCUUUUUAACAUCGGUCAACCGCACAAGCACACAUGGUAAUAGAAAGAAAAAAAUUGAAACAUAUCAAAAGUGUAUCGAGGAAGUGACCAGACAAAAUUCCUCUAUCUCUCCCAUUUUUCUCGUGCUCCUCAUUGCAUCUUAUUCCUCUUAGCUCAAAUAUCUCUAUUUCUCCUAUUUUUAUCAAAAGACAAACUCAACCUUCAUCUCAAAACAAACAUGGCAACACAAAUGGAAAAUAAAAGUGCAAAAAUGAGAAGAACGCCAACCUAAACAUCCAAGGAGGUGCGGUGAUUAGAGGGUAUGGUCGGGGUGACAACGACGAUGUUGUGGUUCAUGGUAAAAUAUGGUGGUCCCUGGAGGAUCUCUUUCUCGCGGCGAAGAUAUGGCUCACGUCAUCGAGGGUCGUGAAUGAGCAGCGAUGGGAGUAGGAGGAUGGUAUGGGGAUGUGCAUGGCGGAGGCGCGACUAAGAGAAACAUAUCACAACCAAAGCACACAACAUAAUAUAGUAAAAAAAAAGGCAUAGAUAUUACCGAUCAGAAAAUUAUUGGAGGAAGAAUCCACAAGGUAAACUUGGUUCUCUUCCUUUCUCUUUGUUAUUUUUCCUUCUUCCGGUAAUGCUUGAGUCAUUUUUUACUUCUCCGUCUUCUUUUGUUUGAUGCAAGGGAUUGUUCACUGGAACUUUGGAUGCAUGUACGGCUGGAGCUUAGGGUUUUAGGAUUUAGUUGUUGUUGUUCUUCGAUGUAAAGAGCAAAAACUUUAAGGUUGUAAAUUUGCAAGUUGUGGAUGGUUGUGACGGGAAAAAAACUUGGAGUUUGAAGCUCGGUCAUAAUGAAACCAAACUCCAUGCCAUAUGAUAUGAAAGGAGGUGCUAGAGUGGUGCACAUACAAAGACUCAAAAAGAAAACCUUAACACUAGAUAUCUUUAAAAUAUUCACUCAUUGCACACUUCAAAAAUGAGGUUUGAGUCUCCUUAAAUAGAAAUGAAAUUUGGGGCU